AUGCUCUGCCAGGUCACGGUGCGUUCUGUUAUGCGUUUUUCCAUCCUGCCUAAACGACGGGGUCUUACUCUGUCCCACAGGCUAGAGUACAGUGGCGCAAUCAUGGCUCAUAUCGCCUUGACUUCCCUGGCUCAAGCAAUUCUCCAACCCAGCUUCCCAAGUAGCUGGGACUACAGGCACUUGCCAACAUGCCCAGCUAUUUUUUAAAUUUUUUGUAGAGAUGGGGUCUCAUUAUGUUGCCUGGUCUGGUCUCUAAUUCCUAGAUUCAAGCAAUCUGCCCACCUCAGCCUCCCAAAGUGUUGGGGUUACAGAUGUGAGCCACUGUACCCAGCAUUCUUCUUCUUCUAAAAACUGGCCUAGACAAAAAAAUUGCCUAAGGUUGACUAGCUAAUGAAGU
rnacentral:antisense_RNA from 1 species